GGAGAGAUGGCAGAGUGGUCGAUUGCGGCAGUCUUGAAAACUGUUGAACUGAAAGGUUCCGGGGGUUCGAAUCCCUCUCUCUCCGC
rnacentral:tRNA from 1 species